CAGUCGAACGAACUCUGGUAUUGAUUGGUGCUUGCAUCAUGAUUUACAUUUGAGUGAGUGGCGAACUGGUGAGUAACACGUGGGAAACCUGCCCAGAAGCGGGGGAUAACACCUGGAAACAGAUGCUAAUACCGCAUAACAACUUGGACCGCAUGGUCCGAGCUUGAAAGAUGGCUUCGGCUAUCACUUUUGGAUGGUCCCGCGGCGUAUUAGCUAGAUGGUGGGGUAACGGCUCACCAUGGCAAUGAUACGUAGCCGACCUGAGAGGGUAAUCGGCCACAUUGGGACUGAGACACGGCCCAAACUCCUACGGGAGGCAGCAGUAGGGAAUCUUCCACAAUGGACGAAAGUCUGAUGGAGCAACGCCGCGUGAGUGAAGAAGGGUUUCGGCUCGUAAAACUCUGUUGUUAAAGAAGAACAUAUCUGAGAGUAACUGUUCAGGUAUUGACGGUAUUUAACCAGAAAGCCACGGCUAACUACGUGCCAGCAGCCGCGGUAAUACGUAGGUGGCAAGCGUUGUCCGGAUUUAUUGGGCGUAAAGCGAGCGCAGGCGGUUUUUUAAGUCUGAUGUGAAAGCCUUCGGCUCAACCGAAGAAGUGCAUCGGAAACUGGGAAACUUGAGUGCAGAAGAGGACAGUGGAACUCCAUGUGUAGCGGUGAAAUGCGUAGAUAUAUGGAAGAACACCAGUGGCGAAGGCGGCUGUCUGGUCUGUAACUGACGCUGAGGCUCGAAAGUAUGGGUAGCAAACAGGAUUAGAUACCCUGGUAGUCCAUACCGUAAACGAUGAAUGCUAAGUGUUGGA
rnacentral:rRNA from 1 species